CCUACGGGUGGCUGCAGUGAGGAAUAUUGGUCAAUGGGCGCGAGCCUGAACCAGCCAAGCCGCGUGAGGGAUGAAGGUCCUAUGGAUUGUAAACCUCUUUUAUAAGGGAAUAAAGUGUGGGACGAGUCCUAUUUUGUAUGUACCUUAUGAAUAAGGAUCGGCUAACUCCGUGCCAGCAGCCGCGGUAAUACGGAGGAUCCGAGCGUUAUCCGGAUUUAUUGGGUUUAACGGGUGCGUAGGCGGGCUGUUAAGUCAGCGGUGAAAAUCUGUGGCUCAACCACAGCAGUGCCGUUGAAACUGGCAGGCUUGAGUAUGUGAGAGGCAGGCGGAAUGCGUGGUGUAGCGGUGAAAUGCUUAGAUAUCGCGCAGAACCCCGAUUGCGAAGGCAGCCUACCGGGCCAAGACUGACGCUGAGGCACGAAAGCGUGGGGAUCAAACAGGAUUAGAUACCCGGGUAGUC
rnacentral:rRNA from 1 species